UCCCUCAUAGCUCAGUUGGUAAAUCAUCUGCCUGCAAUGCAGGAGACCUGGGUUCGAUUCCUGGGUCGGGAA
rnacentral:tRNA from 1 species